CAACAUAGCAAGACCCUAUCUCUACAAC
rnacentral:piRNA from 1 species